GAUGAACGCUGGCGGCGUGCCUAAUACAUGCAAGUCGAGCGAACGGACGAGAAGCUUGCUUCGCUGAUGUUUGCGGCGGACGGGUGAGUAACACGUGUAUAACCUCCCUAUCAGACUGGGAUAACUUCGGGACACCGGCGCUAAUACCGGAUAAUAUUUUGAACCGCAUGAUUCAAAAGUGAAAGACGGUCUUUCUGUCACUUAUAGAUGGAUCCGCGCUGCAUUAGCUAGUUGGUAAGUUAACGGCUUACCAAGGCAACGAUGCAUAGCCGACCUGAGAGGGUGAUCGGCCACACUGGAACUGAGACACGGUCCAGACUCCUACGGGAGGCAGCAGUAGGGAAUCUUCCGCAAUGGGCGAAAGCCUGACGGAGCAACGCCGCGUGAGUGAUGAAGGUCUUCGGAUCGUAAAACUCUGUUAUUAGGGAAGAACAUAUGUGUAAGUAACUGUGCACAUCUUGACGGUACCUAAUCAGAAAGCCACGGCUAACUACGUG
rnacentral:rRNA from 1 species